UACAGAGGUCUCAAGCGUUGUUCGGAUUCAUUGGGCGUAAAGGGUGCGUAGGCGGCGCGGUAAGUCGGGUGUGAAAUUUCGAGGCUUAACUUCGAAACUGCAUUCGAUACUGCCGUGCUAGAGGACUGGAGAGGAGACUGGAAUUUACGGUGUAGCGGUGAAAUGCGUAGAUAUCGAUAAGGAAGACCAGUGGCGAAGGCGGGUCUCUGGACAGUUCCUGACGCUGAGGCACGAAGGCCAGGGGAGCAAACGGG
rnacentral:rRNA from 1 species